CAGUAGCCGCGGUAAUACGUAGGUGGCAAGCGUUGUCCGGAAUUAUUGGGCGUAAAGGGCUCGCAGGCGGUUUCUUAAGUCUGAUGUGUAAGCCCCCGGCUCAACCGGGGAGGGUCAUUGGAAACUGGGAAACUUGAGUGCAGAAGAGGAGAGUGGAAUUCCACGUGUAGCGGUGAAAUGCGUAGAGAUGUGGAGGAACACCAGUGGCGAAGGCGACUCUCUGGUCUGUAACUGACGCUGAGGAGCGAAAGCGUGGGGAGCAAACAGGAUUAGAUACCCCCGUAGUCCCUGUCUCUUAUAC
rnacentral:rRNA from 1 species